CCUACGGGAGACUGCAGUGAGGAAUAUUGGUCAAUGGCCGAGAGGCUGAACCAGCCAAGUCGCGUGAGGGAUGACGGCCCUACGGGUUGUAAACCUCUUUUGUCGGGGAGCAAAGAGAGUCACGUGUGGCUCAUUGAGAGUACCCGAAGAAAAAGCAUCGGCUAACUCCGUGCCAGCAGCCGCGGUAAUACGGAGGAUGCGAGCGUUAUCCGGAUUUAUUGGGUUUAAAGGGUGCGCAGGCGGAGGUGCAAGUCAGUGGUCAAAUUGCGGGGCUCAACCCCGUACUGCCGUUGAAACUGCAGCCCUUGAGUGCGCGAGAAGUAUGCGGAAUGCGUGGUGUAGCGGUGAAAUGCAUAGAUAUCACGCAGAACUCCGAUUGCGAAGGCAGCAUACCGGCGCGCAACUGACGCUCAUGCACGAAAGCGUGGGUAUCGAACAGGAUUAGAUACCCCAGUAGUC
rnacentral:rRNA from 1 species